UACGUAGGCAGCGAGCGUUGUUCGGAAUUACUGGGCGUAAAGAGUGUGUAGGCGGUGCUCUAAGUUCGGUGUGAAAUCUCCUGGCUUAACUGGGAGGGUGCGCCGGAAACUGGGGUGCUCGAGCGUGGGAGAGGAAAGCGGAAUUCCUGGUGUAGCGGUGAAAUGCGUAGAUAUCAGGAGGAACACCUGUGGUGUAGACAGCUUUCUGGACCAUUGCUGACGCUGAGACACGAAAGCGUGGGUAGCGAACAGG
rnacentral:rRNA from 1 species